rnacentral:sRNA from 1 species
UUUAAAAAUGCUGACAGAAGCAUGGAGAAAAAGAAGGGGGAGGCUAGAACCAGGGCCGAGGCUCGCCCCUGGGUGGAUGAAGACUUAAAAGACAGCAGUGACCUGCACCAAGCAGAAGAAGAUGCUGAUGAAUGGCAAGAAUCAGAAGAAAACGUUGAACACAUCCCCUUCUCUCAUACCCACUAUCCUGAGAAGGAAAUGGUUAGGAGGUCUCGGGAAUUUUAUGAGCUUCUCAAUAAGAGACGGUCAGUCAGGUUCAUAAGUAAUGAGCAAGUCCCAAUGGAAGUCAUUGAUAAUGUCAUCAGAACAGCAGGUUUGUAAUUGCAGAUGGCAUCUUUGGAAAUGUUAGUCACCUUACCGGUGUGACUCCAACAAUGGAAAAAUGUCAAAGUUUAAACAU